rnacentral:tRNA from 1 species
AUCUGGCUAGUUCAGUCGGUAGAGCGUGUGACUCUUGAUCUCAGAGUCGUGAGUUCGAGCCCCACGCUGGGUG